rnacentral:rRNA from 1 species
UUAGAGUUUGAUCCUGGCUCAGAACGAACGUUGGCGGCGUGGAUUAGGCAUGCAAGUCGAACGAAUCCCACCUGGGUAACUGGGUGGGGGAAGUGGCGAAAGGGGCAGUAAGGCGUGGGUAACCUGCCCCGGAGUUGGGGAUAGCCUCUCUAACGAGAGGGUAAUACCCGAUGUCCUGCCGAGGGGGCCUCCUCAUGGCAGGAAAGCUCAGGCGCUCCGGGAGGGAGCUACGUGGUAUUAGCUUGAUGGUGAGGUAACGGCUCACCAUGGCCAAGAUGCCUAGCAGGUGUGAGAGCACGACCUGCGCCACUGGCACUGGGACACUGGCCAGACUCCUACGGGAGGCUGCAGUCGAGGAUCUUCGGCAAUGGGCGCAAGCCUGACCGAGCGACGCCGCGUGUGCGAUGAAGGCCUUCGGGUUGUAAAGCACUGUCGGGGGGGAGAAAAGCCCGCAAGGGCCUGAUCGACCCCCGGAGGAAGCACGGGCUAAGUUCGUGCCAGCAGCCGCGGUAAGACGAACCGUGCAAACGUUGUUCGGAAUCACUGGGCUUAAAGGGCGCGUAGGCGGGCACGCAAGUCAGGGGUGAAAUCCCACGGCUCAACCGUGGAAGUGCCUUUGAUACUGCGUGCCUCGAGGGAGGUAGGGGCGUGCGGAACUUCCGGUGGAGCGGUGAAAUGCGUAGAUAUCGGAAGGAACACCGGUGGCGAAAGCGGCGCGCUGGAUCUCUACUGACGCUGAGGCGCGAAAGCCAGGGGAGCAAACGGGAUUAGAUACCCCGGUAGUCCUGGCCCUAAACGAUGGGUACUAGGUAGUGGACUUACAUGGGUUCACUGCCGAAGCAAA